rnacentral:rRNA from 1 species
GAUGAACGCUAGCGACAGGCUUAACACAUGCAAGUCGAGGGGCAGCACAGGUAGCAAUACCGGGUGGCGACCGGCGCACGGGUGAGUAACGCGUAUGCAACUUACCUAUCAGAGGGGGAUAACCCGGCGAAAGUCGGACUAAUACCGCAUGAAGCAGGGGUCCCGCAUGGGGAUAUUUGCUAAAGAUUCAUCGCUGAUAGAUAGGCAUGCGUUCCAUUAGGCAGUUGGCGGGGUAACGGCCCACCAAACCGACGAUGGAUAGGGGUUCUGAGAGGAAGGUCCCCCACAUUGGUACGGAGACACGGACCAAACUCCUACGGGAGGCAGCAGUGGGGAAUAUUGGUCAAUGGCCGAGAGGCUGAACCAGCCAAGUCGCGUGAGGGAUGAAGGUUCUAUGGAUCGUAAACCUCUUUUAUAAGGGAAUAAAGUGCGGGACGUGUCCCGUUUUGUAUGUACCUUAUGAAUAAGAAUCGGCUAACUCCGUG